rnacentral:lncRNA from 1 species
UAAGCACAAACAAAAGCAAGUCCGAACAUUCACCCUUUCCUAAACUGAGCAACUGCUGGGUCUUUACCCAGAAGUUUUAUUCUCGCUCUAGUCUGCCCUUUCUAAAAAUUGAUUGAGAUAACCAAUUGGAAACUUUCCUUCCAAUCUAAUGCUAACCCCAGUUUUUUAGACAUUUUUCAAAUAAUUCAAGCAAAGACAAAAUAUUAUAGUAGGUUCUCUCUAAUACCAUCUCACUGAGGUACCCCUGAAUUGCUCCUGGUGUGGGCACUUCCUUGCCAUACGAAGAAGUAAACUCAACUUUUUCUACUGGGGGCAUGUUCAGCCAAUAUAGCUGGAAGACAUUGACAUCUCACAUCACAUCUGUCAAAGGUCAGCUUUGGACACUCAAUAAGUUCAGGUACAUAGCUUGGUUACAGAGGGAAGGCAAGUAUCUCGAGCCAUCCAUGGACUGCAUGUGGGCCACUGCACAUCGAAGUCUAGUGAAUAGGAACAUCUGGUGUCUUGGAAUGACCAGUGGACAUUUCCUAUGGUUGAUUGCCCUGACACAUUGUGAAUUCCUAUUCUGUUCUGCCAAAGUCCCACAUAGCACCAGAGAUGGGGUGACCUGCUGUAGCUGCACAGCACCUAAGAUGGGUGUGACCUGCCAAGAUGCCAAUCAACCUGCUGAAUGCAAGACAUCAUAAAGCAAGACUCUGUCCUUGAAACCUUAUCCCUGUCUUUGAUGUACCCCCUUUAAUAAACCACUGGAGACAUCUUCUUUUGUCUAGUUCCAGCACCCAGGUGGACUAAACAUCAGGGGCUCCACUUUUGAAAAUAUAUUUCUGACUCUUAGUCUUUUGUUCUUCACUAAUUAUUCUAGACUUUAAUUUCUCAGGUAGCUUGCACCCUCCUUGGCAGAAAGAAGAGCCCCCAAUGAUAUGCUGGCUGUCACCCCAAAGGCAAGCAGUAAAAUAAAAUAUUUG